rnacentral:rRNA from 1 species
UACGAAGGGGGCUAGCGUUGCUCGGAUUGACUGGGCGUAAAGGGCGCGUAGGCGGUUUGCACAGUCAGACGUGAAAUUCCUGGGCUUAACCUGGGGGCUGCGUUUGAUACGUGCAGGCUUGAGUUCGGAAGAGGGUCGUGGAAUUCCCAGUGUAGAGGUGAAAUUCGUAGAUAUUGGGAAGAACACCAGUGGCGAAGGCGACUUACUGGACACAUAUUGACGCUGAGGUGCGAAAGCGUGGGGAGCAAACAGG